GAUGAAGAACGCAGCGAAUCGCGAUAAGUAAUGUGAAUUGCAGAUUUUCCGUGAAUCAUCGAAUCUUUGAACGCACCUUGCGCUCCUUGGUAUUCCGAGGAGCAUGCCUGUUUGAGUGUCAUCGAAACCUCGGAUCGACGCUUCGACCCCGUCGAAGCUCGGUUCGGACUGUGGGAGUCUGCCGGCGAAGCGUGACUUCGUCGGCUCUCCUCAAAAGCAUUAGCUGUGGGUGGCGAGCCUGGCAUGGCACGGCCUGUUCGACGUCGUAGUGAUCGUCGGGGGCUGGAAGUGUAUGGCUCGACGUGACCCAUGCUUCUCGAGUCUUGCGAGCCCGUCCCUCUGUGGGACGGCCGCGCCCCAUCGAAGCUUGACCUCAAAUCAGGUAGGACUACCCGCCGAACUUAAGCAUAUCAAUAAGCGGAGGA
rnacentral:misc_RNA from 1 species